rnacentral:rRNA from 1 species
UCGGAAUUACUGGGCGUAAAGGGCUCGUAGGCGGCCAACUAAGUCAGACGUGAAAUCCCUCGGCUUAACCGGGGAACUGCGUCUGAUACUGGAUGGCUUGAAUCCGGGAGAGGGAUGCGGAAUUCCAGGUGUAGCGGUGAAAUGCGUAGAUAUCUGGAGGAACACCGGUGGCGAAGGCGGCAUCCUGGACCGGCAUUGACGCUGAGGAGCGAAAGCCAGGGGAGCAAACGGG